rnacentral:rRNA from 1 species
ACCCUACAUGACAGAUUUCAAUUGCAAGAGCUAAAACGCAUCACAGGCACCAUCAAACCCACCCUCAAGCCACAGAACAAGAUAGCGAGACUAAAGUUUUGCCUAUCCAUGAUGGAUGAAAGAUGGAUAUCAAGUGCUUGGCCCAGUUUCAAGCCAAUGACAAAUAUGGUCCACGUCGAUGAGAAAUGGUAUGAAAUGACCCGAGUGAAGAGUAGCUACUGCGUACUGCCUAGAGAAGAAGAACCAAAUCGAACUGUGCACAAUACUCAUAGCAUUGGGAAGACCGAGGCACAACGAACAAGCCAGAACAGAGAUAGGGGGACAAUAGACUUGAGGCCGGUCAAAGUUACUAGACCUGUGUGCAGAGAUUAUCUGAUCAAUAAAGUAAUCCCUGCCAUUCAAGACAAAUGGCCUGAUGGUGACGAGGACACAAUGAUCUUAAUUCAACAAGAUAAUGCAACACCACAUGCCCUCCCUAAUGAUGCUGGUUUUCUAGAAGCCGUGGCACACACAGAUCUGGAUAAUCAAUUAUUGCAACAACCACCGAACAGCCCUGAGCUCAAUGUUCUAGAUCUUUGUUUCCACUGCUCCCUCCAAUCCCUAACCGACUGCAGAGCGCCUAUGAAUAUACAGGAACUGGUACAGGGUGUAGAGGAGGAGUUUGAGAACUACGAUUCCCAUAAGCUGUUCAAAAGCUUUAUGACAUUGCAAGCAGUCAUGGUGGAAGUGAUGAAAGAUCAAGGAGGAGACAACUACAAGAUGCCGCAUCUGCACAAGGAACGUCUACAUAAUGCUGGAGAGGAAAUAACCGGUGUAUACUGCAGUCCGGAGCUAAUUACU